rnacentral:rRNA from 1 species
CAGUAGCCGCGGUAAUACGUAGGGUGCAAGCGUUAAUCGGAAUUACUGGGCGUAAAGCGUGCGCAGGCGGUUAUAUAAGACAGAUGUGAAAUCCCCGGGCUCAACCUGGGAACUGCAUUUGUGACUGUAUAGCUAGAGUACGGCAGAGGGGGAUGGAAUUCCGCGCGUAGCAGUGAAAUGCGUAGAUAUGCGGAGGAACACCGAUGGCGAAGGCAAUCCCCUGGGCCUGUACUGACGCUCAUGCACGAAAGCGUGGGGAGCAAACAGGAUUAGAUACCCCAGUAGUCCCUGUCUCUUAUAA